GGAGUUGGCCAGGUCAUCGCUGCCUGCUGCCGGCGAAUUGCGGGUAGGCAAGUGGAGGAAAGUCCGGGCUCCACAGGACAAGGCGCCAGGUAACACCUGGGGGGCGUGAGCCUACGGAAAGUGCAGCAGAGAGUAGACCGCCUAAGCAGUUCGUGGCAGCAAUGCCAUGGCCUGCCGGUAAGGGUGAAAGGGUGCGGUAAGAGCGCACCGCGUCGGUGGCAACAUUCGACGGCAUGGUAAACCCCGUCUGGAGCAAGACCAAAUAGAGGGACGUUGGCGUGGUCCGCGCUGUCCCCGGGUAGGUCGCUUGAGCGUCAUGGUGACAUGACGCCCAGAUGAAUGAUGACCCUAGACAGAACCCGGCUUAUGGCCAACUCCUUUU
rnacentral:RNase_P_RNA from 1 species